rnacentral:tRNA from 2 species
CGGGGCGUGGCGCAGUCUGGUAGCGCACCUGCUUUGGGAGCAGGGGGCCGCUGGUUCGAAUCCAGUCGCCCCGACCA